AUUGAACGCUGGCGGCAGGCCUAACACAUGCAAGUCGAGCGAGCGGCGGACGGGUGAGUAAUGUCUGGGAAACUGCCUGAUGGAGGGGGAUAACUACUGGAAACGGUAGCUAAUACAGCAUACCAUCAGAUGUGCCCAGAUGGGAUUAGCUGGUAGGUGGGGUAAGGGCUCACCUAGGCGACGCUCCCUAGCUGGUCUGGAAGGAUGAGCAGCCACACUGGAACUGAGACACGUGCCAGACUCCUACGGGAGGCAGCAGUGGGGAAUAUUGCACAAUGGGCGCAAGCCUGAUGCAGCCAUGCCGCGUGUGUGAAGAAGGCCUUCGGGUUGUAAAGCACUUUCAGCGGGGAGGCGUUACCCACAGAAGAAGCACCGGCUAACUCCGUGCCAGCAGCCGCGGUAAUAC
rnacentral:rRNA from 1 species